AGUAGUCAUAUGCUUGUCUCAAAGAUUAAGCCAUGCAUGUCUAAGUCCAAGCUGUGUUCACACGGCGAGACCGCGGACGGCUCAUUAAAUCAGUCGUGGUCCAAAUGGGCCAGUGCAAAUCCUACUUGGAUAACUGUGGUAAUUCCAGAGCUAAUACAUGCAACUGAUAUCCCGAAGGCGGUGUUGGGGCUUGCUUGCCUUGCGCUGCGCUGCUCUGACGGAUGCUUUUAUUAGACCAAGCCGCUGAGGACUUGAGGGUUCGCGCUCUCUUGUUUGACUCGUGUGAUGGUGACUCUGGAUAACCAAAUUCUGACAAGCGCACGUACUUCUCUUCUGAGCGAGACGGCGCUGCCACUUUCGAGUGUCUGCCUUAUCAGCUAUCAACCGUUCGUUAUGCGCGACCGAUGGCUUUGACGGGUAACGGGGAAUCAGGGUUCGAUUCCGGAGAGGCAGCCUGAGAGACGGCUACCACGUCCAAGGACGGCAGCAGGCACGCAAAUUACCCAAUCCCAGCAAAUGGGGGAGGUAGUGACGAAAUCUAACGAUGCGGGCGCCCUUUCUGGGGCCCCGCAAUCGGAAUGGGCACUUUCUAAACAACCUGUUGAGAACCUAC
rnacentral:rRNA from 1 species